rnacentral:piRNA from 1 species
UAGUGCCGCAUUUUAAUUUUU